AUUUGAAAAGCAUUAGUCCAGGACUAAUGAAGUUCACAAUCUGCCCAUGAAAAUAUGCAAAAUUUGGAGACUGGAAGUUUCUACAAGUACAAUGCCUGCAGUUCCCAAGCAAGGAUGUGAACCCACAUCAUGGGAGAUCAUGUGCAAAUUGCUGUGACCUGUGAAAUAGAUCCAUGAAGAAGAAAUUUUGGAGCCAGCAUAAAGGAUAAAAGAGGACACAAAAUUAUGAUGAAGUCCUACUAAACCAUCCAGAGAGGUCAAAGUGAGAAGAACAACUUAAUCCUUUGAGCCUGCUUGUAACUGCAGGAAGCUCCAUUAACUCCUGAUGGUUCAUCGUAAAACAUUAGCUCUUGCACUGUGGGACGGAUGCAGAACUGGCUUCUGCCAGGGGAGACAACAACCACAGCACUGCCACUGGGUCACAAAGAUGCUCAAAUUCAUCAGCAGAAUUUACAGUCACCUGGGAGUGCACCAGUUGCAGAGUCUGCCACAAAAGCCAGAGUUAAUAUAAAAGAUCUGCCACAAGCUGCAAGACACCCUG